UACGUAGGGUGCGAGCGUUAAUCGGAAUUACUGGGCGUAAAGUGUGCGCAGGCGGCCGAGCAAGUCGAGUGUGAAAGCCCCGAGCUUAACUUGCGAACUGCGCUCGAAACUACUUGGCUAGAGUGUGGCAGAGGGAGGUGGAAUUCCACGUGUAGCGGUGAAAUGCGUAGAGAUGUGGAGGAACACCGAUGGCGAAGGCAGCCUCCUGGGCCAACACUGACGCUCAUGCACGAAAGCGUGGGGAGCAAACAGG
rnacentral:rRNA from 1 species